rfam:Otolemur garnettii contig151329, whole genome shotgun sequence.
CCAGCAUUCCCAGGUAGGCCAAGGUGUCCUACAGAAAAACCUUGGGUUAGACCUACAGGGGGUCUGG